UCUGUCGUAUAGCGAGGUUUGCUAUCACUUUAAAUUCUUCUCGUCUUGAGUCAUUCCAUCCUGUAUGUAAUUCAAACAGGUUUUUGUAUAAUUAUUUCUCUUAAUAAUUACCAUUAUACAAUUGCUAUAGCUGCCAGUUUUGUUUCUCUUUUCUGCCAGAGAAUAGGAGAAAUGCAUUACGCAUUUGUGUAACUUACGAUCUUUGAUUCAUGCUUAAAAUGCAUGGAAUAUUUUUCAUUUUCUGUUUGAGGCAGUACCUCAUCUGGGAUCACAUCUCACAGUGUAAGCUUACACUGUAUAAAUGGACUCCUUGUAUUGCAACUAGGUAUAAACUACAGUAAAAAAGCAAAGGAGGUCAAGAGAAUUGAAUUUCUUAAGGCGAUGGGGGCCAGUGAAUAUUAAUGGCUGCAGGUAGAGGCACGCUGCAUCUGGACAGUAAUGCAGAAAGCCUUUUUGUAUGGUCAUUUUUUUUUUCCCCUUUAAAAUAAAUUUGAUUUGACCAUCAUUAUAGCCCUUUGUUGUUGUCUUUUGAUGAGGAUUCUAGGAAAUUGGCUUGCUGGCAUGCAUGGCUUACUGGCAGGGAGAGCAAGCUGGAAUUUGCAAGCACAAGUGUUCCUACUAGAGAUCUAAUUCAAGAAGUUAUAUUCUCCAGUUGAGAGAAGAAAAAAGUUUUUUAGGGUUGAGGUUUUUUUGUGUAUGCUUUUCUUGUUUUUUUCUCCAGGGUAGAUGGGAGCAGGCACAGCAGCCUGAGGGAGAGAUGCAUGUGCUCAUCCCCAGCACACCUGGCUCCUUGCUGAUGUCUGCCUUGGAGCUGCCACUGGAGAAGAUAGGAAAUGAGCACGCAUGGAGCUGCUCGAGACCUGCCCGCCUCCGUGACGUUUCCAGGAGGGCCCAGCGGUGCCCACCUCGUGCUCCAAAGCUCUUUGGCCAGAAGUUACACUUGGACCAACCGAGGCUGCUUUGCUGAAUCCAUCUCAGUAUCCCACUCACAGAAGCUUUUAAUUUCCUCACUACCAGUUUGAGGGGGAUGGGAGUAGAAUAAAUUGAGAGCGGAAUAAAUUUACGCUCUGUUA
rnacentral:lncRNA from 1 species